rnacentral:rRNA from 1 species
UACGUAGGGUGCAGGCGUUAAUCGGAAUUACUGGGGCGUAAAGCGCGCGUAGGCGGCUUUGCAAGUCGAGUGUGAAAUCCCCAGGCUUAACCUGGGAACUGCAUUCGAGACUGCAUAGCUAGAGUAUGGGAGAGGGAAGUGGAAUUUCAGGUGUAGCGGUGAAAUGCGUAGAUAUCUGAAGGAACAUCAGUGGCGAAAGCGACUUCCUGGACCAAUACUGACGCUCAUGUGCGAAAGCGUGGGGAGCAAACAGG